rnacentral:rRNA from 1 species
UACGUAGGGUGCGAGCGUUGUCCGGAAUUAUUGGGCGUAAAGCGCGCGCAGGUGGUUCCUUAAGUCUGAUGUGAAAGCCCACGGCUCAACCGUGGAGGGUCAUUGGAAACUGGGGAACUUGGAGUGCAGAAGAGGAAAGUGGAAAUUCCAAGUGUAGCGGUGAAAUGCGUAGAGAUUUGGAGGAACACCAGUGGCGAAGGCGACUUUCUGGUCUGUAACUGACACUGAGGCGCGAAAGCGUGGGGAGCAACAGG